rnacentral:rRNA from 1 species
AAAAAGCUAGGCGUGCCUGUUUGGCCGUCGGGCAAAACUCGCGCAGAAUUAGGCUGUUGGGUGGGUGACGCUACUAAGGCUGCCCAAACCUUAUUCUUAGCCUGACUAGACGGUUUUAAGGCCACGGAGGCACUGAAAAAAGGGCCUAAGUCCUCAUGGAUGCAGCAGUAGUGAAUUUUUGGCAAUGGCUUGA